rnacentral:rRNA from 1 species
AUUGAGCGCUGGCGGCAGGCCUAACACAUGCAAGUCGAGCGGAUGAAGGGAGCUUGCUCCUGGAUUCAGCGGCGGACGGGUGAGUAAUGCCUAGGAAUCUGCCUGGUAGUGGGGGAUAACGUCCGGAAACGGGCGCUAAUACCGCAUACGUUCUGAUGGAGAACGUGGGGGAUCUUCGGACCUCACGCUAUCUGAUGAGCCUAGGUCGGAUUAGCUAGUUGGUGGGGUAAAGGCCUACCAAGGCGACGAUCCGUAACUGGUCUGAGAGGAUGAUCAGUCACACUGGAACUGAGACACGGUCCAGACUCCUACGGGAGGCAGCAGUGGGGAAUAUUGGACAAUGGGCGAAAGCCUGAUCCAGCCAUGCCGCGUGUGUGAAGAAGGUCUUCGGAUUGUAAAGCACUUUAAGUUGGGAGGAAGGGAAGUAAGUUAAUACCUUGCUGUUUUGACGUUACCAACAGAAUAAGCACCGGCUAACUUCGUG